AGAGUUUGAUCCUGGCUCAGGAUGAACGCUAGCUACAGGCUUAACACAUGCGAGUCGAGGGGAAACGACAUCGAAAGCUUGCUUUUGAUGGGCGUCGACCGGCGCACGGGUGAGUAACGCGUAUCCAACCUGCCCACCACUUGGGGAUAACCUUGCGAAAGUAAGACUAAUACCCAAUGAUAUCUCUAGAAGACAUCUGAAAGAGAUUAAAGAUUUAUCGGUGAUGGAUGGGGAUGCGUCUGAUUAGCUUGUUGGCGGGGUAACGGCCCACCAAGGCAACGAUCAGUAGGGGUUCUGAGAGGAAGGUCCCCCACAUUGGAACUGAGACACGGUCCAAACUCCUACGGGAGGCAGCAGUGAGGAAUAUUGGUCAACGGGCGAGAGCCUGAACCAGCCAAGUAGCGUGCAGGAAGACGGCCCUAUGGGUUGUAAACUGCUUUUAUAAGGGAAUAAAGUGAGUCUCGUGAGGCUUUUUGCAUGUACCUUAUGAAUAAGGACCGGCUAAUUCCGUGCCAGCAGCCGCGGUAAUACGGAAGGUCCGGGCGUUAUCCGGAUUUAUUGGGUUUAAAGGGAGCGUAGGCCGGAGAUUAAGCGUGUUGUGAAAUGUAGACGCUCAACGUCUGCACUGCAGCGCGAACUGGUUUCCUUGAGUACGCACAAAGUGGGCGGAAUUCGUGGUGUAGCGGUGAAAUGCUUAGAUAUCACGAAGAACUCCGAUUGCGAAGGCAGCUCACUGGAGCGCAACUGACGCUGAAGCUCGAAAGUGCGGGUAUCGAACAGGAUUAGAUACCCUGGUAGUCCGCACGGUAAACGAUGGAUGCCCGCUGUUGGUCUGAACAGGUCAGCGGCCAAGCGAAAGCAUUAAGCAUCCCACCUGGGGAGUACGCCGGCAACGGUGAAACUCAAAGGAAUUGACGGGGGCCCGCACAAGCGGAGGAACAUGUGGUUUAAUUCGAUGAUACGCGAGGAACCUUACCCGGGCUUGAAUUGCAGAGGAAGGAUUUGGAGACAAUGACGCCCUUCGGGGUCUCUGUGAAGGUGCUGCAUGGUUGUCGUCAGCUCGUGCCGUGAGGUGUCGGCUUAAGUGCCAUAACGAGCGCAACCCCUCUCCUUAGUUGCCAUCAGGUUAAGCUGGGCACUCUGGGGACACUGCCACCGUAAGGUGUGAGGAAGGUGGGGAUGACGUCAAAUCAGCACGGCCCUUACGUCCGGGGCUACACACGUGUUACAAUGGCAGGUACA
rnacentral:rRNA from 1 species